AGGACUUGUAUGCACCUAAUUCCUAAUUAAGUUAAGAUUUAAAUCAGAAUUAAAUAUAAUUUAAUCUAAUUUAAUUAGACUUCUAGUUAGACUAAGAUCAUCAUUAAUUAGGUUAUAAUUAAUUUGGAUUGGGUUCAAAGAGCUUGACCUAGUCUACAUAAGAAUCCUAGUUAGACUAGGAUUCCAUCUUCUCCAUUAUGCCACCUA
rnacentral:lncRNA from 1 species